AAGAAGUCGUCGAAGGUGGAAUCAAUAACUGGGGUGAAGUCGUAACAAGGUAGCCGUAUCGGAAGGUGCGGCUGGAUCACCUCCUUU
rnacentral:rRNA from 1 species